rnacentral:rRNA from 1 species
UGUUUUNUCAAAAACAUGGCGUUUUGAUAAUAAUUUAAGGUNUGACCUGCCCAAUGAAUAUUUAAAUGGCCGCGGUAUUUUGACCGUGCAAAGGUAGCAUAAUCAUUAGUUUUUUAAUUGAAAGCUGGAAUGAAAGGUUGGAUGAAAAAAAAACUGUCUCUAUUUAAAUUUUUUAGAAUUUUAUUUUUAAGUAAAAAAGCUUAAAUUUAAGUAAAAGACGAGAAGACCCUAUAGAGUUUUAUUAAUUAAAAUUAAAAAUUUUUGGAAUUAAUAAUUUUUAUAUUUAAAAUUAAUUUAGUUGGGGUGAUUAAAAAAUUUAUAAAACUUUUUUUUUAUUUAACCAUUAAUUUAUGAAUAUUUGAUCCUUAAAAUUAAGAUUAAAAGAAAUAAUUACCUUAGGGAUAACAGCGUAAUUUUUCUAGAGAGUUCAAAUCGAAAGAAAAGUUUGCGACCUCGAUGUUGGAUUAAAAUAAAAUUUUGGUGUAGGAGCUAAAAAAUUUAGGUCUGUUCGACCUUUAAAAUUUUACUUGAUCUGAGUUCAAACCGGAG